CCCCACCCGACGCGUUCAUCAGUGACUAGUGUACGCGGGGCGUGGUAGGGUACUAGGGUAGGGCAGGGCACCGAAAGGCAGUGCAGUGCCGCAGACGGCAGAUCUGACCUCCCCCUAAAGCCUGCCGCCGCCGCUGUCUCUCGCUACCCGCGCUGCGGCUCUGCCCCUGCCCGCAGCAGCACAGCAGUACCGCUGCACCGGGCACCACGAAGCAGCUUCUGCCGCUCCGCACUUCCGCAGCGCCCCGGGCGCGAGGAGAGAGAGAGAGAGAGACCGACGGAGGCAACGAGCGCCCGCCGCGCGCCCAGUGUGGCAGCGCGCGCGGGAGCCGGGAAAAUGUUGCACGGGGGUAGGAGCACGGGCGGGCGAUUAGGCAGGCGUGGCAGGGCAGCGUAGGGAUAAGACCGUGCGAAGAGCUCGAGCAGCAGCACAGCAGCCGGGGCCCCGACGGACGGACGCGGCCGGCGCGCUCGACCGCCAAGCACGCCGGGGAGCACCAGCCGUUGCCUCAUUCCAGCAGCUACACCGCCAGGCGCCAAAGCCCACGCGCCUGCCUGGAGCUCCAUCUUCCACUUCCACCCCAUAAAAGCGCUGCAUUCCUCCUCACGGCUAUCUCCCGCCGCGCCAGCAGCCAGCGUAUGAGCAGCGCCUGCGGCUGCGGGCGGCGCCACUAGGGGGAUGGAGGCAGCAGCCGUGGGCGCCGGCGCGCCCGGCCGCUCCCAGCAGCAGGGCUCCAAGCGCGGCCGCGGCGGCGCCGUGAGGGGCAGCGAGGCGGAGGCGGCGUGGGGCCAGCCGCCGCCGCCGCCGCCGCCGCUGGGCCCGGGGGCGGGGUCCCGGAUCUACCGCGUGCGGGCUAGCGGGGGCAAGGACCGGCACAGCAAGGUGUACACGGCCAAGGGCAUCCGCGACCGCCGCGUGCGCCUGUCGGUGCCAACCGCCAUCCAGUUCUACGACCUGCAGGACCGCCUCGGCUUCGACCAGCCCAGCAAGGCCAUCGAAUGGCUCAUCAACGCCGCCGCCGCCGCCAUCGACAAGCUCCCGGAGCUCGACCCGGCCGCCUUCGCCGCCCUCCCCGCGCCGGGCGACGCGGAUGCCGCCGGCAAGGACAAGCAGCAGCAGGGGAGCAAGUCCGCGGGCAGCAGCACGUCGGAGACGAGCAAGGGAUCCGAGCUCUCGCUCUCGCGCUCCGACAGCCGCGGGGGCGCCUCCGCCCGGGACAGGGAGGUCACCGUGGCCAGCACCUCGGCGCAGGCCGCGUCCUUCACCGAGCUGCUCACCGGGGUGGCGUCGGCCGGCGCCAUUAGCGCCGCCGAGCACAGGCAGUCCUGGCAUCACCAGCCCAACGUCUCCGCGGCCGCCGCCGGCUGCGUCGGCAUUGCGCACAACGGGAAAGGUGCGCACGGGCUGUCGACGCACGCCUUUUCUGGCCCUGCCGCCGCCAAGUUCGGCAGCGCGCCUCCGUUCGGCCUGGUUCCGGCGCAGCCCUUCAACUUCACCAGCCCCAUCGAGAUGCCUCACUUCUCGCUCGGCCAGGACACUCUGGCGGCGUCCUCGGCUGCCGCCGGGGACUACAGCCUCGGUUUCUCCAUGUCCUCAGGUUUCUUGGGUGCCAGUAGGGGGACCCUUCAGUCCAAUUCGCAGUCGAACUUCUCGGGCCAUCAUCACCACCAGCUCCAGAGGCUGGAUGGCCCGCUCUUGUUUGGUCACGUUCACGGUGCGGCGGUGGCGCAUCCCGCAUCCGAGAACCAGCUCACAUCAUCCGCGGCGUUACAGCUGUGGGACGGUCUCCGGCACUCCGGCAUGAAGGAGAAGAGCAAAAACUGAUUGCUCAUUCUUCAACGGUAAGAUGCUAACCGCUGUACUCUUAGAAUUAGAAUCUGGAAACUUUUUAUCUCUGUCGCCUGUGAUGUUCUCAAACUGUCAUUUCGGCAUGAUCUACCUUCUUCGUGGUACUCGAGGUAGCCUCGUGUCCAGCCUUCUUCUGUUCCAGUUGACUUUACCGGUUUCAGAACUCCAGGGCGUCCAUUUACCUCGGCUUUGCAUGAUGUAGUCUUACAGGUGUCAUUCACUCCUCACUGGAGAGGAUUUUGCAUGAUCACAUGGCAUCUGAUUGGCAUGCACUGCAUUUUUAUUGUAUUAAAUUGCUUUGCUGUGUGCUGUAGGCUGUAGCUACGUAGCAUUACUGAAAAGGGAUCGAACACUACAUUUGCAUGCAUAAAAGGCUUAGUAAUACGCAACAGAUCUUAACUGAAGCUAGUUUCUGUUCAUAUCACAGUUUUUUUUUUGCCUAGAUAAUGCAGUAAUAUCUAUUUUGUACCGUAGCAGUUCACAUCAACAAGUGGUUUUAUCCCCUUGGAUGACUAUUGAUGUAGGUGAUCUGAGAUCUUUGGUUUGUGAUAGAACAUGGUCUUCCACUUGAUCUGGUAUGAUAAUAUGGACUCUCAGUUAAAGCUCGCUGAAUUGUGAUACCAACUUUGAGAGUUCGUACAAGCUUAGCUUAGAUGACAAGGAAUCCGAAGACAAAUGCAAUCGGCUAAAACCCUAAUUAUGGACUUACAAACCAUAAGCUGUUCCACUUUCACGCGAAACUACCUUAUUACUUGUCAUGACCCAUGAAUCUAUUUGGUGUUGGUGAUCUGAUCAUGCAAGCCAUGCUUUGCUGCUUACUCUGCCAAGUGCAUAGUAGGGCUUUGAUUGGGUGUUGGCUCAAGAUUAGAGCUCCUGCAAGCAGAAGCCCGGCCAUACUUGAUUCAGCUUGCUCUAUGAUCUUAAACAUGACUAGCCAGUAAGAUUUAACUUUUUCGUGAUACAUGACGAUGGUAGUAGGACCCCUCAUAUAUUAAGCAUUCAACUGUACUUCUGUAUGAUCAUUGGUCAGUUUGUACUUUGUGUCCCAUCACAAGAAAAAAUGUACUUAGUACAGUGUUACCAGCAAAACUUGACUAAGAGCGUUGGUAUCAACAAAAUGCUUGUGUACUCUAUUCAGAGAGAAGUCUUUGAAUAUUAUUGUAGUUUGGUGACCUUGGUGAUACCAGUUCAUUAAGUACCUUUUUUCUCCUAUAGAUCAUUCCCAGCAUGUCUAAGGAAACUAAUUUCGUCCAUUAUCCACACAAACCUUGUUCAUCUCUAAAUGUUCUGUGUUGAAAUCUGUUAAAUUGUACUGUUGUUAAGUAGUUGUUGUCAAGAUUCGGUCUUUAUUUUUUGAUAUAUGCUACCAUUUCUGGUGCUUUGCUUGCACUGAGCUAUCCAGAGUUCCAAACUCCUAAGUGGGCUAGACACUUCCAGCCUUAUUGAUUGAACGUAGCUUUCCAUCAGAUGCUGUAACAUUACUUCCUGGUUUGAGACCUAGACCUCAUAGCACAAUCCUGGGCGUUUGUUGUUGUUUGUUAUACUUCCUAACUACCAGAAGUUACUUUUGUUUGUUAUCAAGUUUCCCCAUGUGAGACCUUAGCUUUCUAAUCUUACAGGACUGUGUGUAAUUAUGUAUGCUGGAAUCACAUGGUUUAUUGCAUUUUCUGGAAUUAAAUAGGGUAGAAGAUUCAUCCUAUAGUACCAGUGAGGCGACCAGAGAAGGGGUGAAUGGGAGCCACUAAAAAUUCUAGUCCUACAAGUACGUGACUUUGAUACCAAAGUUCAACCCGAAAUCCCUCCAGAAUCACCGUCGCCGAGUUUUGAGGCCCAAACUCUUCAAAAACCCGUCCUCCAGAAUCACCAGCCCAACGUCUCCGCGGCCGCCGCCGGCUGCGUCGGCAUUGCGCACAACGGGAAAGGUGCGCACGGGCUGUCGACGCACGCCUUUUCUGGCCCUGCCGCCGCCAAGUUCGGCAGCGCGCCUCCGUUCGGCCUGGUUCCGGCGCAGCCCUUCAACUUCACCAGCCCCAUCGAGAUGCCUCACUUCUCGCUCGGCCAGGACACUCUGGCGGCGUCCUCGGCUGCCGCCGGGGACUACAGCCUCGGUUUCUCCAUGUCCUCAGGUUUCUUGGGUGCCAGUAGGGGGACCCUUCAGUCCAAUUCGCAGUCGAACUUCUCAGGCCAUCAUCACCACCAGCUCCAGAGGCUGGAUGGCCCGCUCUUGUUUGGUCACGUUCACGGUGCGGCGGUGGCGCAUCCCGCAUCCGAGAACCAGCUCACAUCAUCCGCGGCGUUACAGCUGUGGGACGGUCUCCGGCACUCCGGCAUGAAGGAGAAGAGCAAAAACUGAUUGCUCAUUCUUCAACGAAAACUGAAACACAUCCAGUUGCUGGGACCGGUUCGGGCAUAUAUGGAUUCACCCUUCGGAGCUGCUACCGUUUGUUGCGGUGAUGACCAUCAGAUUGCCGCACACAAGGCUGCUAUGGUGGCCAUCGUCAACCAUCCACCACCACCAGGCACCAGCCCUGCUGCCGUCGAUCAAGCAAUCCCGUGCUUUGUUUUUUUUCCUUCUCUCUUCCAUUCCUUUCCUAGGCGCUGUUGUACAAAUUUUGUGAGAGAUGAGAGUUUAAACAGGCUGUUGUAAGAGUGUGCUCGGUAGCCGCGGUUCUAGUGCUCCCCGCGCCUCACUGCUGGUCUAGACUAUUCUGGAGUUUGUAUGAACAGGUCCAUCGGACAACAGUUGUGCUCAUAGUUUCUCAGCUUGGUUUGCGAGAUAUAUAUAUCCCUCAUCAAGUGGUGCCA